ACUUUAGUUAAUUUUUUAGUACUUAGGUUUUUUUAUUAUUAUUUUUUAUUUCUAGUUUUUUUUCAGUUUUAGUAGUAAAACGAUAUAUAUAGUUUUUGUUAAUUUUUGCUUAUUUUUGUUACUUUAGUAAUUUUUUUAGACAGGUUUUUUUUAUUUAUAUUUUUUAUUUCAGUUAAUAUUUAUUUUAUUUUAAGUAACGUUUUUAUGGUUAAUUUCGCUUAUUUUAGUACAUCAAGUUAAACUAAAAUAUAAAGAUAAUUUUUUUUUUAAAAUAUGUAUUUAUAUUUUUAUUACAUUUAAUAUUUAUUUUAUUUCAAGUACUAAUUUUUUUUUUUUUUUUUAAUUAUAAUUCUAACAUCCUCAAUGUUUUCACAAUCGGAAGUCAAUUAAAAUCUCCGCCGCGAUGGCUUCAUGGACUUCUCUCAUCUAUUUUCUCAUCGCCGAACCCAAACAGGGAGAAAAUAAUAAAUUGUUCAAUUAUGGUCCAGUAGGCAUCGCCGUCACUGUUAAAUGAGAAAGUGGAUGAUUAUUUCACAGAUUGCUUCUUUGAAGUGGGAACGGGCCUUUUGUGCUUAGACGAAGUCUAAUGCUAGCAUGUGUCUGUUCAGAGGAUAUUUAACCCUCUAUGGUACGCAUUAUGUUCUAACCAUGAAAUAUUUUUUUAAAUAAGUUUUUAUUACAUGAAAUAGCUUCAAUUAUACAAAUCCAAAAAAAAAAUGUAAAAAAAUUUUUGGGGGGUAUUUAGGAAAACGUUGCCAUAUGGCAACAGUGUACCACAAUGGAAAAUGGCCAAAAAAGUAGUUUUCUAUUAAACUAUGAUUAAUCUUUCUAUUUAAAUUAGACAUUUCUUUUAGUAUAUUAGUAUAGCCGACAACGUUACCAUCUCACAGGUGGCCAACGAGGAGGGUCUGUUCAGCGUGAGGAGCGUCCCUGACGGUGAUCCUGGAGCCCAGCAGCACGUACAGCUGCAGACUGAUGCACCCGCUGCUGGGGGAGGAAGGGCAGGCGUCGGUCACCAUCAGCGAACUACUGUACUCUCACUUCUGAUGAGCGUCCGUCUGCACAGCACCAGUACCGCGGUAAGAUCUGAGCUCUGCACGAACUCACCGUUACGUAACGAUGCUUCUCAGCUAAUCUGCAGCAGUCGACCUUGAGCUGGUGUAAGAAAGAGCUGCGAACUCUGAGAGAAACAGAACGCUCACAGACGGAGAGAGCGCAUGAUGAGCGGACCGUCUGACACCAGCGGCAGGAGCUGAUGAGUUAACACAGGAGACCAGUGUGUUUCUAAGGGCUGUGUCGUGGUGUCAGGAGCUCCCGGCACAGCUGUUCCUUUUCUAACUGCUGAUAUCUCUGUCAGUACAGUGGCCUCGCUUUAAAAGUCCUUCCACGUGUCAGCAGCUCAGAGAACACAGGCGUGUGUGUGUGUGUGUGUUACAUCAUCACGUCCAUCUCUCUUUGCAGCCACAGCAUUCUGGGUGAAAGCUGUGAGAAAGAUCAGUAGACUGCUGGAGUGAGUUGGGAGGGAGCGGGAGCAGAAACUCGGAUGCUUAGAAAUGUAGCCAUGGUGAUUUUGCAGUGAAUAAGGUAGCCAUGGCGAUGUUGCUGUGGCGACUGUCUAGCACUGAUGAACUGCUGCUGAUGUCAGAAAUGGUUAUGGGAUGUUGCAGUGAAAAUCCUCAUCUUUAACAAGAUCUAGCGCCGCGUCAGCAAGUCAUUAGAUGAGUUUUGUGUGCAAAUUUUGAAUGCACUGAAAAAAAAUUGAUGUAGGACUUUCUUUGAAACUAUUUUCAACUCUAUAUAUUUUUUUUCUUCAGAAAUUUCUAGUAAAUUUACAAUUAAUUACAAAGAAAUGGCAAGCAACACUUAAUUAAUACAAAAU
rnacentral:lncRNA from 1 species